GUGCUAAGAUGCAGCCGCCUCUGGGGUGGAUCCAUGGUGGCCAUUAUUUGCUAGUGACAGCCCGUGGACCUUUCUUGCCCUCCAGGCCUUCCAUUCUCCUGUUAAAGAAGCACCCCCCAGGCUCCCUCUGCCUGUGUGACUGGCCAGCAGGAGAUGGUGUUAACUUUCUAGCCACUUCUCACACUCUGUGAGACAGGCUGCAGAAUGACGUCCAUGUUUUGCUCCAGCUCAUCCCAGCCUGGCGUGGGACAGGGAAGAGAAAUGGCUGCAGUGGAGUCAGUCCAGGGGCCGGUGACCUUCGAGGAGGUGGCUGUGUAUUUCUCCAGGGAAGAGGGGACUCUGCUGGACCCCACUCAGAGAGCCCUCUACAGAGAUGUCAUGCAGGGCAACUAUGAGACGGUGGUCUUGCUGGGUAAGGAUUCCUGUCCCUUCUGUUCUUGGAAGGGGAAAUGAAGAGUGAAGGUUCAUGCCACCCCCACAAUGCCAUCUGUACCCUGUCCUGUUUCAGAAUCACCCCAAUAGACCAGUAACAUACAUACUACCAGAGAGCCUCCUCUGCUGCAGAACACUUUGGGAACAGAGCACAGGAGCAGCAUCACACAAUGUCAAA